rnacentral:lncRNA from 10 species
CGGCUAAAGAUCACUUUUUUAAAAGUCCAGCCAUUCUAGAGGCUCUUACGGAUCUCAAACUCAUCUGGAGAUAGGAGUCAUGUUCAUACCUGCAUUGUGCUUUGUACAGAGGGGAAUGCAAGGCAGAGUCAGCCCAUUUUAUGAAUGAGGAAGCUGAGGCCAGUUUGGAUAAGAACUUUACUCAAGCAAGGGUUAUACAGUGACGAGAGAUCUCAUUUACUGUGAGUGGACAAUGUUCCAGGGCUGGGCCAGGACCUCGCAUGUGUGAUUUGCACAACCCACUUUGGAGGACGGGAAAACUGAAGCUCAGAGAGGCUGAGUGACCAGCACACAUCUGGAAAGAGCAAGAGCCUGGCCUGGCCUCCAGGCCCUCCUGCUUGCAGACCAGGCAAGUGGAUCACAGGGUAGCAAAAGACGAGCAUUCAACACCCCGAGGCCGGAAUCAAUGGCAACAGUGAGCUGGGCAUGAACACAGCCCUUGAAGCAGGAGACAUUCAAAGUGACAUGGCCCGUGUUUGAUGCCCACAGUCCCUCGUCACAGGCUCACACUGCGUCCAGCCAAGGGCUAGGGCAGCGGCAUUCAUGAGGUUUCAUAAGGAGCCUGUCGCCUGCAGGGAAGGCGGGUCACGGGGACUGGCUUCACUUGCUGUGCCUGUCGCUCAGCUUUGCGACCCACCAGGCCUGGACCUCCUCUUUUGUUAGUCGGAAACUCAUCACAACUUGGAGGAAACUCUGGUUUGCACCAGCAGCAGGGAAUUCAUUUGAUGAUGAUGAAGCCUAGUUAAACCUUGGAUUCUUGCGAAUGUCCCAGAGCCUGGGUCCUUCUGAUGGCAGCAGCUAAAACACACUGAUGGUGGAGGUGGGGAAACUGAGCCACCGCCUUCCUUGCACCACCUGAGUCUGCUUCAUCAUCCCAUUCAUGAGAUCACAGAUAUCAGGAGGACCAAGGAGAGGGGGCGCCAAGUGACAUCUGGUGGUUUCUUCCACGCAGUCAUUCCUCAAAACCUAGCAGCAUUCUUGCUUCCGCUCUCCCCCUACAGCCACAGCCAUCACUGAGUGAGUCCCUGCUGCAGAAUGAUCUUAACUUAGACCAGGGCGUGACACCUCCUCUUGCCUCCACCCCGGGUCCAGCCCACCACCACCAUCUCUCCCUGCACCGUCACUCACCUGGCCCAUGGCAACAGCCUCCUCACUGGGCUCCCAGCCUCCACUCUUCCCCUUCCUUCCACUCUCCAGAGUCAGUCUUUGUAAAGUGCACGUGAGGGCAUGCCACACCCCCUACUCAAAACCCGCUGGCUUCUGGCUGCACUUCAGAUAAAAUCCAAACUCCUUCUCUAGCCUCCACGGCCCUGUGCGGUCCGGGCACUGCCUCCCUGUGGGCUCACCUCCUGCAGUCUUCCCUCGUAGCAGGCAGCAGCCACGCUGGCUCUUCACACAGCCAGAGUGCUUCUCCACACGAGGACCUUGCACAUGCUGUUUCCUCUGAUGAGAAAGCUCUUCCCCCAGAUCUUCCUCCACCAGCUAUUCCCUUUCGGUCAGCUCUCAGCUUAAAUGGCAUCUCAGGUCCACAUAACCUAGGCAGCCCCCCAGUUACUCCUAUCAAAUCGUAUGAUUUUCUCUAUCUCUGUAGCAUGUUAUCUUCCAUUUUUCCUGUGAUAGUUUUGGUUUGCUUAUUUCCUAUACCACCAUCCCAUGCCCCCUCCCGCGCACACACAGAGCAAUCAAUCUACAAGCUCUGUGACUGCAGGGCCCUUCUGUUCUGUCCACCACUAGAUUCCCAGCACCUAGUACCUAGUGCCUGGCAUAUAGUAGAUAUUCAAAAAUAUCUGUAAGGUAAGUGAAUUAGUAGCUACGGAGGACUCAUGACAUGCCAGGCACGUGCUAAAUAUCUGGGGCUAUCACUGAGGACCCAGCAGACACUGGACAACUGUGUACGACUAACAAAGGAUCAAGCAUUGGUCAAGUCAUUAAUUACAUAUUUAAAAGGUGGAAUAACUGCUACAAAAGAAAAUGAAAAAUUCAAAGUGAGUGCAUGUAUGUGUGUGUGUGCAUGUAUGUGUGUACAUGUGCGUGCGUGUGCAUGUACGCGUGUGCAUGUAUGUGUGUGCAUGUGCACGUAUGUGUGUGUGUGCGCAUGUAUGUGUGUGUGCAUGUGGAUGCAGGGCGGUAUGGUUUCCAAAUGUAAGCAACUCCUCUGACACUGCUCCAUCAGGGGUGGUGUCUAAUUCCCCACUGUUUCAAUAUGAGGCAGCCCUGGUCCCUUGAUUCUAAAAAACAGAAUGCAGUGGAAGUUGAUGCUGGGUGACUUCUUCAACUGCAACAUCAAAAGGGAUACAGCUCCCAUCAGCCUCUCAACCUUCAAAUUCAGCCACCAUGUUGUAAGGAAGCCCAGUUCACAAGGCGGCAUCACAUGGAGUGUUAGAGUGAACAGCUCCAUCUGAGGACCCAAUCUACAGCCAAUAUUGACCACAAGACAUGGGAGAGGAAGCCUUCAAGGUGGCCCCAGCCCUGGCUGACAGACUAUCGGUGCAUGAAAGACCCCAAGCAGGGACCUCCAGGUGGAGCCAGUCAACUCCUGUAGCAGCAAGAGAAAGAAAAUAUGUUGGUGUUGUAGCUUUUGGAGUAGUUCGUUCUGCAGCCGUAAAUGACCAGAACAGGGACUGGUGUGACAUUUGUGGAAGUCAGGGAAGGUCUUCCUGAAGAAAGAAAGGAAAUCUGAGCUGAGAU